rnacentral:rRNA from 1 species
GAAUGGUUUUUGAUCAAAAUCUAUAUGGCCUUUGGAUUGGACUGCGACCGAUCAGGCUGUUGGUGAGGUAAUGGCCCACCAAACCUGUAACCGGUACGGGCUCUGAGAGGAGGAGCCCGGAGAUGGGUACUGAGACAAGGACCCAGGCCCUAUGGGGCGCAGCAGGCGCGAAACCUCUGCAAUAGGCGAAAGCCUGACAGGGUUAUUCUGAGUGACUUUCGCUAAGAAAGUCUUUUGACAUCUCUAAAAAUGGUGUAGAAUAAGGGGUGGGCAAGUCUGGUGUCAGCCGCCGCGGUAAUACCAGCACCCCGAGUGGUCGGGACGAUUAUUGGCCCUAAAGCAUCCGUAGCCGGUCAUGCAAGUCCUCCGUUAAAUCCACCUGCUCAACAGAUGGGCUGCGGAGGAUACUACAAGGCUAGGAGGCGGAAGAGGCAAGCGGUACUCAGUGGGUAGGGGUAAAAUCCUCUGAUCCAUUGAAGACCACCAGUGGCGAAGGCGGCUUGCCAAUACGCGCUCGACGGUGAGGGAUGAAAGCUGGGGGAACAAACCGGAUUAGAUACCCGGGUAGUCCCAGCUGUAAACGAUGCAGACUCGGUGAUGGGCCGGCUUUAUGCCGGCUCAGUGCCGCAGGGAAGCCGUUAAGUCUGCCGCCUGGGGAGUACGGUCGCAAGACUGAAACUUAAAGGAAUUGGCGGGGGAGCACCACAAGGGGUGAAGCCUGCGGUUCAAUUGGAGUCAACGCCGGA